AGAGUUUGAUCCUGGCUCAGAACGAACGCUGGCGGCAUGCCUAACACAUGCAAGUCGAACGCCCCGCAAGGGGAGUGGCGCACGGGUGAGUAACGCGUGGGAACCUGCCCUGGAGUUUGGGAUAACCCGGCGAAAGCCGGGCUAAUACCGGAUACGCCCCGAGGGGGAAAGAUUUAUCGCUCUAGGAGGGGCCCGCGUCGGAUUAGCUAGUUGGUGAGGUAACGGCUCACCAAGGCGACGAUCCGUAGCUGGUCUGAGAGGAUGAUCAGCCACACUGGGACUGAGACACGGCCCAGACUCCUACGGGAGGCAGCAGUGGGGAAUAUUGGACAAUGGGGGCAACCCUGAUCCAGCAAUGCCGCGUGAGUGAUGAAGGCCUUAGGGUUGUAAAGCUCUUUCGCCCGCGACGAUGAUGACGGUAGCGGGAGAAGAAGCCCCGGCUAACUUCGUGCCAGCAGCCGCGGUAAUACGAAGGGGGCGAGCGUUGUUCGGAAUUACUGGGCGUAAAGGGCGCGCAGGCGGCCCUUGAAGUCAGGCGUGAAAGCCCUGGGCUCAACCUGGGAAUUGCGCUUGAUACUCGAGGGCUUGAGUGCGGGAGAGGAGAGUGGAAUUCCCAGUGUAGAGGUGAAAUUCGUAGAUAUUGGGAAGAACACCGGUGGCGAAGGCGGCUCUCUGGACCGUAACUGACGCUGAGGCGCGAAAGCGUGGGGAGCAAACAGGAUUAGAUACCCCCGUAGUCC
rnacentral:rRNA from 1 species